rnacentral:lncRNA from 1 species
CCCUGGCGCGAGCGAGCGAGCGAGCAGAGCCGCGCUGAGACCGAACGAGUACUCGUGCUACUCACAUCAUGCCUGUGUUUGGGGUGGACCUAGUAAAUAGCUUUCAAGAAGCACGGCGUCAUCAGCCAAAGAAACGAAGAGAAGCUACAUAAACAUGUGACUCAAGACUGUUCGUUAGCGCAGCGGUCCUUCUGUCUCUCUUACGACGGACGUUUCUUGCUUUGUUGUUUAUUUCUGAAUAGGGGACUAACUCAGCUUGCUACUAACAACGGAUUGCAUAACUGCGCGCGCAACGCUGACAUCCGCAGUUCCACCCCGACGACGCGCAACUAGGGCUCGUACCCUCGUUGGAAAAGGAAAUAUUCAAAUAGCAGCACCUGGCUUUCAGGGAGACACGGCGGCACAAAUCACGGGCUGCUGUUCUAAGAAGUUAAAUAUGACGUACACAAUUCAGAAAGUGCCUAACAAACCGUCCCAAAAUCAAUACCAGAUCUGCAAAAUAACUAAAACUGGAACUUAUUUGAUCCAUGGUAAAGUGAAUAUGAUGAAGACCACAAAUCCAAGUGACUCUUUAAUACUGUUCGGGGAACUCAGGGAACAACUCGAUAUUAAACAUGAAACCAUUCCAAACUGCAC